UACGGAGGAUCCAAGCGUUAUCCGGAAUCAUUGGGUUUAAAGGGUCCGUAGGCGGUUUUGUAAGUCAGUGGUGAAAGCCCAUCGCUCAACGGUGGAACGGCCAUUGAUACUGCAAGACUUGAAUUAUUGGGAAGUAACUAGAAUAUGUAGUGUAGCGGUGAAAUGCUUAGAGAUUACAUGGAAUACCAAUUGCGAAGGCAGGUUACUACCAAUGGAUUGACGCUGAUGGACGAAAGCGUGGGU
rnacentral:rRNA from 1 species